CUUUCUUGGAGGAGGUCGAUCUGCUAAGCAGUUCGGUGGUCUCUGCAGGUGUCAUCUUGUGAUGCUUGGUUCCUGGUUCCAGUUCUGAUUCCGGUUUAGUGGAAGAUCACUGUUCUGGCGGUGAUCUUCAUUCAUUGCUGGUGGUUCCUACGCAGGAGGCCUCUUCGGUGGGGGAUCCUUGCCUCCGUGGAAGUUAAGAGGACUUCGUUGCAGGAUCCGUUCGCCAUUCCUGGUCUCUGUCUGGGAGCUGUUGGGAGCGUCUGGAGGUCGCUCCUUAGGAGGGGAGUUAUGUCACAUCCUGUUCCUAGCUGCGGAUCAUUCUGGCAAUGGCUUCUG